CUCGGCACAUCCCUCGGCUUCCUUGUCUUUGUUUGAAUUUCCAGAAACAGCGGCAACAGCUGCUCCAGUCCUGAACACCGCGCUUCUCUGGGAAGUUGGGUUAAUUUGUCUAAUUUUACACCUUUCACUCUGCUCCCCGCGGUGGAGUGCUUUCGCGUCAGAGCGUCAGGACGAACAUUGUUAAGAAGACCGUGCAUCCUUUUGGAUGAUGUCAGUUACAUCACCUUGCUGACUUUGGCGGGGGGGGCCCUCGAGAUUACACUGAAAGCUGUCCAUCACCCUGUCGUCUCGCCCCAGCCCUCCCACCCCUCGGAAGCCACAGCCGGCCUCCUCCCCGCCCGCCGGGGGCUGGCAAUUCCCCGUGAGACACCAUGCCGCAUCCACACUGUGCCUGUGCUGGGAGACACUCUAGAAACUGCUCGUCCCCGUGGUACCGAUGCUCCAGGUGUGGGGGCAGCCCCCGGUCUAUGAGACGGACCCUGGUGCCCACGUCCGACCUCGGGGCCGGGACUCCCCCACGCUGGUAAAGAACAGGAAACAAUAGCCGCUCACGGAGUCCGUGUGGCAGGACCACACACGGUUCAGCCACGGCCCCAAUCCCCCGCGUUCACAUUGUUUAACUGGUCAGUAUCCUCACAUCCGCACCGAGGGGGAAAUAAAGCCGAGGCUGAAACGUG